UACGAGGGGUGCAAGCGUUGCUCGGAAUUAUUGGGCGUAAAGGGCAGGUAGGUGGUCUCAUUUGUCUGGGGUGAAAUCCUUGGGCUUAACCUGAGAAGUGCCCCAGAAACGGUGAGACUAGAGUCCUGGAGAGGGUCGUGGAAUUCCCGGUGUAGCGGUGAAAUGCGUAGAGAUCGGGAGGAACACCAGAGGCGAAGGCGGCGACCUGGACAGGUACUGACACUCAACUGCGAAAGCGUGGGGAGCAAACAGG
rnacentral:rRNA from 1 species